rnacentral:rRNA from 1 species
AACGAACGCUGGCGGCAUGCCUAACACAUGCAAGUCGAACGAGACCUUCGGGUCUAGUGGCGCACGGGUGCGUAACGCGUGGGAACCUGCCCUUAGGUUCGGAAUAACUCCCCGACAGGGGUGCUAAUACCGGAUAAUGUCUUCGGACCAAAGAUUUAUCGCCUUUGGAUGGGCCCGCGUUCGAUUAGCUAGUUGGUAGGGUAAAAGCCUACCAAGGCGACGAUCCAUAGCUGGUCUGAGAGGAUGAUCAGCCACACUGGGACUGAGACACGGCCCAGACUCCUACGGGAGGCAGCAGUGGGGAAUAUUGGAAAAUGGGCGAAAGCCUGAUCCAGCAAUGCCGCGUGAGUGAUGAAGGCCUUAGGGUUGUAAAGCUCUUUUACCCGGGAUGAUAAUGACAGUACCGGGAGAAUAAGCUCCGGCUAACUCCGUG